rnacentral:rRNA from 1 species
UACGUAGGGCGCAAGCGUUAUCCGGAAUUAUUGGGCGUAAAGAGCUCGUAGGCGGUUUGUCGCGUCUGCCGUGAAAGUCCGGGGCUCAACUCCGGAUCUGCGGUGGGUACGGGCAGACUAGAGGUAUCAGGGGAGAACGGAAUUCCUGGUGUAGCGGUGAAAUGCGCAGAUAUCAGGAGGAACACCUGUGGCGAAAGCGGCUCACUGGACCAUAACUGACGCUGAUGCACGAAAGCUAGGGGAGCAAACAGG